rnacentral:rRNA from 1 species
UACGUAGGGUGCAAGCGUUGUCCGGAAUUAUUGGGCGUAAAGAGCUCGUAGGCGGUUUGUUGCGUCGGCUGUGAAAUCCCGAGGCUCAACCUCGGGUCUGCAGUCGAUACGAGCAAACUAGAGUGUUGCAGGGGAGACUGGAAUUCCUGGUGUAGCAGUGAAAUGCGCAGAUAUCAGGAGGAACACCGGUGGCGAAGGCGGGUCUCUGGGCAACAACUGACGCUGAGGAGCGAAAGCGUGGGGAGCAAACAGG